rnacentral:snRNA from 1 species
AUACCCUUCUCUGCCUUUUGGCUAAAAUCAAGUGUAGUAUCUGUUCUUAUUAGUUUAAUAUCUGAUACGUGGGCUAAUGGUCCACACGAUUUUAACUUAAUUUUUUUAGGGGAAAAGCUCAUUAUUAAGGUAGUUGGCUAUUUGGGAUUUUAAGCGUUGUCAUGGCGUUGAACUAUUGCCUAGGCCUCCCAUCAAUU